ACAGCCUUUCUUCAAUUCUUCACGAAGGGAGGACAAAGGGCACUGUAAGCGAAGUGAACACAUAUUUAAAGGUAGGAAGUACUAAAUGUUCUAUAUAGUGGGUCAGGAACACGAAGUCACAACAGUUCAGCUGAGGUGUGUGGGAUGGUGGCUUAAGGCAGGCAGCAGGUGAGUUUUUCAGGUAUAUGAAGGAGUGUGGGUUUCGUUUUCUAAGGGAUAGGAGCCACUGAAGAUUUUAAACCAGGAGACAUCAUGAUCAGAUUUGGGUGUUAGGUAACUAGUACCUCAGGCUUAAGGUGGCACUUUGAAGCUUUCUGUAACAGAAUUUUCUUCCUCUAACAGUUAACAUCAAACUAAAUAAAAACAGAAAGAAAUGUUCACCAAAAACACAAAUGAGGGAUACCCUGAUAUAAAAUUUAAAAAUUAGUGAUGAAGGAAAGAAACAAGAUUGUGGAUAAGGCCAGGCACAGAAAGGCUCAGCUUCUAAUUCCUUUCCCCAAACUGGUGAAAUGACAUGUAGCUUGAGAAUGUUAUUACCCUUAAACCUAAAGGAAGGCAAACGGCCUGCGUCUCCUUGCCUUCUUCCUCUUCUGAUCAGAAAUAAUGAAAAUGGCCACAAGGGAAGCAGGUGACCAGGACUGACUGAAAGAAGUGAAUGUUCCAGGGUGUUAAUGGGUUGAACUGUGCCCCACCCAAGAUGCUCAAGUCCUAAACCUCAGUACCUGUGAAUGUGGCCUUAUUUGGUAACAAAGUCUUUGCAGAUGUAAGCAAGUUAAGAUGAAGUCAUUACGGUGGGUCUGACCCAAUGUCCUUAUAAAAAGGGGAAAUUUGGACACAGACACGUACAUGGGGAGAACGCCAUGUGAAGAUGAAGGCAGAGAUCGGGGUGAUGCACCUAUAAGCCAAGGAACACCAAAAAAUGCCAGCAAACCAUCGGAAGCUAGGAGCAAGGCACUAAACAGAUUCUCCCUCACAGCCUCAGAAGGAACCAACUCGGCCAACACCCUGAUUUUGGGCUUCUGCUCUCCAGAACUGUGAGACAAUACAUUUUGGUUGUUCAAGCAACCCGUUUGCAGCACUUUGUUACGGCAGCAUAGCAAAUUAAUACACAGGGUGACUCACUCAAUUGGGGAAGACAAUGUAGAACAGAGACAGUAUCUUCCAGGGAUACACAACAUACAGUGGAAAGAAACUCAAGUACUCAGCCAUCACGUGAUAACUAAGAGGGGAAGACAAUGAUUUGGGAUAUGGCAGAAAGUCAAGACCCGCCUUUUCCUCGGCACACACCUCACCUCCUCACCACUAUCUGUCCUGCCCGGGGCCAUCAGAAGUGGUUUCAGAAACUACAAAUCCUAUUAGGUCCACCUCAGAACAAGGUGGUUGGAAGUCUGGAUCCAAUACUUUGCUGAAGUUAAGGGGCUCCCUCGGCUGAUAAACUUGGAAUAGGAUUUCAUCUGAAGCCUACGAGGAAAAAAAAAUCAGUCUUAUGAUACGCAACUUCCACACGGUUGUAA